rnacentral:tRNA from 1 species
GGGCGGUUAGCUCAGUGGAAGAGCAUCGGCCUUACAAGCCGGGGGCCAUCCGUUCGAACCGGAUACCGCCCA